AGCGAACGCUGGCGGCAGGCCUAACACAUGCAAGUCGAACGAACCCUUCGGGGUUAGUGGCGGACGGGUGAGUAACACGUGGGAACGUGCCUUUAGGUUCGGAAUAACUCAGGGAAACUUGUGCUAAUACCGAAUGUGCCCUUCGGGGGAAAGAUUUAUCGCCUUUAGAGCGGCCCGCGUCUGAUUAGCUAGUUGGUGAGGUAAUGGCUCACCAAGGCUACGAUCAGUAGCUGGUCUGAGAGGAUGACCAGCCACAUUGGGACUGAGACACGGCGCAAACUCCUACGGGAGGCAGCAGUGGGGAAUCUUGCGCAAUGGGCGAAAGCCUGACGCAGCCAUGCCGCGUGGAUGAUGAAGGUCUUAGGAUUGUAAAAUCCUUUCACCGGUGAAGAUAACGACUGUAGCCGGAGAAGAAGCCCCGGCUAACUUCGUGCCAGCCGCCGCGGUAAAAC
rnacentral:rRNA from 1 species